rnacentral:lncRNA from 1 species
UGUUCAAGUUUAAUUUCUUUUGAAUUUGAACCUUUUUUCCAUACGACCCAAAGCAUGACAUGUCAUCUGGAUAAGCACUGCCUCAUGAACUAUCAACACAUUCACAUAAUUGCUUGUGAAUCAGGUCCUGUUCAAGUUUAAUUUCUUUUGAAUUUGAACUUUUUUCCAUACGACCCAAAGCAUGACAUGUCAUCUGGAUAAGCACUGCCUCAUGAACUAUCAACACAUUCACAUAAUUGCUUGUGAAUCAGGUCCUGUUCAAGUUUAAUUUCUUUUGAAUUUGAACCUUUUUUCCAUACGACCCAAAGCAUGACAUGUCAUCUGGAUAAGCACUG